rnacentral:SRP_RNA from 2 species
GCUGGGCGUGGUGGCGGGUGCCUGUAAUCCCAGCUACUCAGGAGGCUGAGGCAGGAGAAUUGCUUGAACCCAGGAGGCGGAAGUUGCAGUGAGCUGAGAUCGCGCCACUGCACUCCAGCCUGGGCGACAGAGCGAGACCCUGUCUCAA